AGUUGUUUCCCAGUUUGGUGUGGAAGAACUUGACUUGCCUGCACAGUGCCCUGACCUCAACCUAUGUUACUGUUGUCCCCCCCACCCACAGAACUUAAGUUCUACCGUGUGACGGUGUCGAUGGCUGGAAUGAGUCUGAGCCUCCUUUUUGAUCGUUCUGCUGGUUUCCAGCCGUGUCUGGGCUCCCCUGGCGGAUCCUUGUCCCUGAUCUAAUAACUCUGCAGCGGCUGAUAAAAAUACUCUUCACUGGGACAAAGAGCCGCUCUGCAGCAGUGAACUGAUGCUUUGAUUAAAGAUGGAUGGAGGCUCCAGUGUUUCUGAUUCAACCUGCCACACUGAAUUUACUUGCUUACUUACUCUACACAAAAAGUUUGGUCCAAGAAGAUAAAAGAAGACACUCGCGUACAAAGACCUCUUCCCUCCAUCACUCCCUCCUCCUCCCUGCAGAACUAUCUCACAGUCUGAAAGUGGAAACUCGUCUGAUGAGUAAUCGUCGCCACUCUGUGUCACUGUGCCGCCGUCGAGGCUGAAAAUGGACGAUUUACACCUGGAAUGAGUCAACAAAGCUCUGAAAAUAGUUUCUUUAAGAGCGGGUGAAGAAAAAAUCCACCGUGUGUCUGUGACUCAUCCAACAAAAUGAAGCUUUACUCCAAAAAAAAGCCCCUUCUAUUACUGUAAUACACAAAGUGUUUGUGCAGCAGGUUUCCAUUUCCUCAUAAUGUCGUCCAAAGUUAAUGUAUGUGAGGCAUUUCAAAAAGCAAC